AGUGAACGCUGGCGGUAGGCCUAACACAUGCAAGUCGAACGGCAGCACAGUAAGAGCUUGCUCUUACGGGUGGCGAGUGGCGGACGGGUGAGGAAUACAUCGGAAUCUACUUUUUCGUGGGGGAUAACGUAGGGAAACUUACGCUAAUACCGCAUACGACCUACGGGUGAAAGCAGGGGAUCUUCGCACCUUGCGCGAUUGAAUGAGCCGAUGUGGGAUUAGCUAGUUGGCGGGGUAAAGGCCCACCAAGGCGACGAUCCGUAGCUGGUCUGAGAGGAUGAUCAGCCGCACUGGAACUGGAACACGGUCCAGACUCCUACGGGAGGCAGCAGUGGGGAAUAUUGGACAAUGGGCGCAAGCCUGAUCCAGCCAUACCGCGUGGGUGAAAAAGGCCUUCGGGUUGUAAAGCCCUUUUGUUGGGAAAGAAAAGCAGCAGGUUAAUACCCCGCUGUUCUGACGGUACCCAAAGAAUAAGCACCGGCUAACUUCGUG
rnacentral:rRNA from 1 species